UACAGAGGGUGCGAGCGUUAAUCGGAAUUACUGGGCGUAAAGCGUGCGCAGGCGGUCUGCUAAGAGAGAUGUGAAAUCCCCGGGCUUAACCUGGGAACUGCGUUUCUAACUGGCAGGCUAGAGUGUAGCAGAGGGGGGUGGAAUUCCACGUGUAGCAGUGAAAUGCGUAGAGAUGUGGAGGAACACCGAUGGCGAAGGCAGCCCCCUGGGCUAACACUGACGCUCAUGCACGAAAGCGUGGGGAGCGAACAGG
rnacentral:rRNA from 1 species